UAGGGAAUAUUGGACAAUGGGGGAAACCCUGAUCCAGCCAUCCCGCGUGCAGGAAGAAUGCCCUAUGGGUUGUAAACUGCUUUUAUAAGAGAAGAAACAGAGGGAUUCAUCCUUCUUUGACGGUACCUUAUGAAUAAGCACCGGCUAACUCCGUGCCAGCAGCCGCGGUAAUACGGAGGGUGCAAGCGUUAUCCGGAUUUACUGGGUUUAAAGGGUGCGCAGGCGGUCUAUUAAGUCAGUGGUGAAAGCCCGGGGCUCAACUCCGGAACUGCCAUUGAUACUGAUAGACUUGAGUUUGGGAGAGGUAGGCGGAAUACAGCAUGUAGCGGUGAAAUGCAUAGAUAUGCUGUAGAACACCAAUUGCGAAGGCAGCUUACUAUACCAAUACUGACGUUCAGGCACGAAAGCGUGGGGAGCGAACAGG
rnacentral:rRNA from 1 species